CCCUUAGAUGUUCUGGGCGGCCCGCGCACUACAUUGGCACUCUCAAUAAGUUCCUAGAUCUAAAACUUUGGGGUAUUCUAUUAAGUGGUGUCGUGACUGGGAUUAACCCUUGCAAUUAUUGGUUACGAACGAGGAAUUCCUUGUAAUCGCGGUUUAUCAGCCCGCGUUGAAUGCGUCCCUGCCCUUUGUACACACCGCCCGUCGCUCCUACCGAUGGAUCGUCCGGUGAAGCUCAUGGAGGGGCGGUUGUCUCAGCUGCCGUCGAAGUGAAAUGGACCUCACGAUCUAGAGGAAGGAGAAGUCGUAACA
rnacentral:rRNA from 1 species